UUACAGGAACCUUGAUAAUGAAGAUGUCCACCCUGGUCAAGAACAGAGGAAAGACCUAAAGUGAGGUCAGCUAAAAACAAGAAAGAAAUUUAAAGCAUCCUGGGAAGUCAUCAUAUCCUUUUUCUCCAAGAAAAUCUAGUUUUGCUUGUUUUUGUGUAUCCCACAACACCUAUGUUUGACUAUGUUUUUCACUUUGGAUUUGGAUUUUGGUGUGAUAUACACAGUUCCAAAAAAUCAAUGGAUAGAAAACUCAGUGGCAUAAAUAAGUGCUUAAAACAAUACUUCAAGAAAUGUUCAAUAUUCCAUGAGAACAAUAUCCACGUGAGAUGAAAAGUCUAAGUUAGUUCCUGAUUUCUGGAAGCUGGGAAAGUCUCAUUCCAGUAACUGCUUAAUAUCCCCUGUCAGUCUUCUUCAAAGGCUGAAGCCAGCCUCUGACUGAAGCGCAGCCUCAAUGUUUCCUGUCUGGUGCCAGCACAGCUUGCCUGGACUUCUGAAAAUUGCAAGCCCUUGCUCCUUGCUAGUCACCACACUCUCCCUUUCUUAGCUGCAGACUCCCUCUUGCUGUGGUUUACCAGGUGCCCUUAUUGCCCCUCAUGCUUGUGUGCCACUUUGGACUUAAUCUGGCACACUUAACUCCCUUCAUCCACGCCUGAAGCUGGACAAGCUGAAGUGACUGCGUAACUUUCUCAAUUCUGGCUCCUGCCCACCAACCUUGCUCUGCUAGGAGGAAUUAGCUCUGCCAGGAGGAAUUAGCUCUGCCUGGCCAGAACCCAAGAAGUGACAAAUGAAACUCACUCAAUAGGUGGUAAUUAAACUUCUGGCUCUAAAGCCCAGAAUAGGUUGUCAAUGGGAUUUCACAGUGGCUCCCUGACACUAAGCAAGGAUGUAGUUCUACAUCUAGUUUUAAAUCUUAAACUCUAACAGGAUUCUCAGAAAAGACAGUAAAGACUAAGGCCAAAAAAAGUUGUUUUAAGGGGAAAAUGACAGUAAGUACAAAAGAUAAUCUGGGGAAGACCUGGCAUUUCUGAAAUCAAAACAUCUGUUACUAAGUGGAUCAUGACUGCUUAGUUUCUAGUCUAGAAUCUUUAAGUAAGCCAUUCAGAAGAUGUGAUACUAUAGAAUUAUACCAACUGAGGAAUAGAGUGGAGAGGAAGGGCUGAAGAUGACUUCAGAAAAAGGCCUGAAGCGUGAAAAAUGUUGAUCUCACUCACUGAUCUAUGCUUUGUUUCUUUUAAGAAUGUAUUAAUAUAAAUAUCCUUUUCUUCCCACAUCCAAUCCCUAUUACUACACCAAAUACUUGUUCCUUUAGGAAAUGUGAAGUUGAAAAAAAUUUCCCCCAUUAAAUGAGAAUUAUUCUGCUUAUGA
rnacentral:antisense_RNA from 1 species